UUUCCGUAGGUGAACCUGCGGAAGGAUCAUUAUUGUAUAACCGAGGUGCGAGGGCUGUCGCUGACCCGAAAGGUCGUGCACGCCCGAGUGCCCUCACACAUCCAUCUCACCCCUAUGUGCACCACCGCGUGGGUCCCCCUUUGGCUUGUUCGGAGGGGGGCUUACGUUUUCACACAAACUUUGUAUGCAGUGGAGAAUGUAUUUUUUGUUUUUGCGAUCACGCAAUCAAUACAACUUUCAACAACGGAUCUCUUGGCUCUC
rnacentral:misc_RNA from 1 species